rnacentral:rRNA from 1 species
GAUGAACGCUGGCGGCGUGCCUAAUACAUGCAAGUCGAGCGAACGGACGAGAAGCUUGCUUCUCUGAUGUUAGCGGCGGACGGGUGAGUAACACGUGGAUAACCUACCUAUAAGACUGGGAUAACUUCGGGAAACCGGAGCUAAUACCGGAUAAUAUUUUGAACCGCAUGGUUCAAAAGUGAAAGACGGUCUUGCUGUCACUUAUAGAUGGAUCCGCGCUGCAUUAGCUAGUUGGUAAGGUAACGGCUUACCAAGGCAACGAUGCAUAGCCGACCUGAGAGGGUGAUCGGCCACACUGGAACUGAGACGCGGUCCAGACUCCUACGGGAGGCAGCAGUAGGGAAUCUUCCGCAAUGGGCGAAAGCCUGACGGAGCAACGCCGCGUGAGUGAUGAAGGUCUUCGGAUCGUAAAACUCUGUUAUUAGGGAAGAACAUAUGUGUAAGUAACUGUGCACAUCUUGACGGUACCUAAUCAGAAAGCCACGGCUAACUACGUGCCAGCAGCCGCGGUAAUACGUAGGUGGCAAGCGUUAUCCGGAAUUAUUGGGCGUAAAGCGCGCGUAGGCGGUUUUUUAAGUCUGAUGUGAAAGCCCACGGCUCAACCGUGGAGGGUCAUUGGAAACUGGAAAACUUGAGUGCAGAAGAGGAAAGUGGAAUUCCAUGUGUAGCGGUGAAAUGCGCAGAGAUAUGGAGGAACACCAGUGGCGAAGGCGACUUUCUGGUCUGUAACUGACGCUGAUGUGCGAAAGCGUGGGGAUCAAACAGGAUUAGAUACCCUGGUAGUCCACGCCGUAAACGAUGAGUGCUAAGUGUUAGGGGGUUUCCGCCCCUUAGUGCUGCAGCUAACGCAUUAAGCACUCCGCCUGGGGAGUACGACCGCAAGGUUGAAACUCAAAGGAAUUGACGGGGACCCGCACAAGCGGUGGAGCAUGUGGUUUAAUUCGAAGCAACGCGAAGAACCUUACCAAAUCUUGACAUCCUUUGACAACUCUAGAGAUAGAGCUUUCCCCUUCGGGGGACAAAGUGACAGGUGGUGCAUGGUUGUCGUCAGCUCGUGUCGUGAGAUGUUGGGUUAAGUCCCGCAACGAGCGCAACCCUUAAGCUUAGUUGCCAUCAUUAAGUUGGGCACUCUAAGUUGACUGCCGGUAACAAACCGGAGGAAGGUGGGGAUGACGUCAAAUCAUCAUGCCCCUUAUGAUUUGGGCUACACACGUGCUACAAUGGACAAUACAAAGGGCAGCGAAACCGUGAGGUCAAGCAAAUCCCAUAAAGUUGUUCUCAGUUCGGAUUGUAGUCUGCAACUCGACUACAUGAAGCUGGAAUCGCUAGUAAUCGUAGAUCAGCAUGCUACGGUGAAUACGUUCCCGGGUCU